GAAAAAAAAAAACAAAAAAUUUCUUAGAUAUACUGGUAGCGUACGAGUAUAACUUUUUUAUUUAGUACUACAACUAUGUUUCAUUAUUUUUAU
rnacentral:ribozyme from 14 species